AUUGAACGCUGGCGGCAUGCCUUACACAUGCAAGUCGAACGGCAGCACGGGAGCAAUCCUGGUGGCGAGUGGCGAACGGGUGAGUAAUAUAUCGGAACGUGCCCAGUCGUGGGGGAUAACGCAGCGAAAGCUGUGCUAAUACCGCAUACGAUCUCUGGAUGAAAGCGGGGGACUCGCAAGGGCCUCGCGCGAUUGGAGCGGCCGAUAUCAGAUUAGCUAGUUGGUGGGGUAAAAGCCCACCAAGGCGACGAUCUGUAGCUGGUCUGAGAGGACGACCAGCCACACUGGAACUGAGACACGGUCCAGACUCCUACGGGAGGCAGCAGUGGGGAAUUUUGGACAAUGGGCGCAAGCCUGAUCCAGCAAUGCCGCGUGCAGGAUGAAGGCCUUCGGGUUGUAAACUGCUUUUGUACGGAACGAAACGGUCCCUUCUAAUAAAGGGGGCUAAUGACGGUACCGUAAGAAUAAGCACCGGCUAACUACGUGCCAGCAGCCGCGGUAAUACGUAGGGUGCGAGCGUUAAUCGGAAUUACUGGGCGUAAAGCGUGCGCAGGCGGUUAUAUAAGACAGAUGUGAAAUCCCCGGGCUCAACCUGGGACCUGCAUUUGUGACUGUAUAGCUAGAGUACGGUAGAGGGGGAUGGAAUUCCGCGUGUAGCAGUGAAAUGCGUAGAUAUGCGGAGGAACACCGAUGGCGAAGGCAAUCCCCUGGACCUGUACUGACGCUCAUGCACGAAAGCGUGGGGAGCAAACAGGAUUAGAUACCCUGGUAGUUCACGCCCUAAACGAUGUCAACUGGUUGUUGGGUCUUCACUGACUCAGUAACGAAGCUAACGCGUGAAGUUGACCGCCUGGGGAGUACGGCCGCAAGGUUGAAACUCAAGGAAUUGACGGGGACCCGCACAAGCGGUGGAUGAUGUGUUUAUUCGAUGCACGCGAAAAACCUUACCACCUUUGACAUGUACGGAACUCCCAGAGAUGGCUUGUUGCUCGAAGAUAGCCGUACAGGUGCUGCAUGACUGUCGUCAGCUCGUGUCGUGAGAUGUUCGGUUCAGUCCCGCAACGAGUGCAGCGCUUGUCAUA
rnacentral:rRNA from 1 species